rnacentral:rRNA from 1 species
ACGUGGGUAACCUGCCCUAAGAGUGGGAUAACUCCGGGAAACCGGGGCUAAUACCGGAUAACAUUUUGAACCGCAUGGUUCGAAAUUGAAAGGCGGCUUCGGCUGUCACUUAUGGAUGGACCCGCGUCGCAUUAGCUAGUUGGUGAGGUAACGGCUCACCAAGGCAACGAUGCGUAGCCGACCUGAGAGGGUGAUCGGCCACACUGGGACUGAGACACGGCCCAGACUCCUACGGGAGGCAGCAGUAGGGAAUCUUCCGCAAUGGACGAAAGUCUGACGGAGCAACGCCGCGUGAGUGAUGAAGGCUUUCGGGUCGUAAAACUCUGUUGUUAGGGAAGAACAAGUGCUAGUUGAAUAAGCUGGCACCUUGACGGUACCUAACCAGAAAGCCACGGCUAACUACGUGCCAGCAGCCGCGGUAAU